GAUGAACGCUGGCGGCGUGCCUAAUACAUGCAAGUCGAGCGAACAGAUGAGAAGCUUGCUUCUCUGAUGUUAGCGGCGGACGGGUGAGUAACACGUGGGUAACCUACCUAUAAGACUGGGAUAACUCCGGGAAACCGGGGCUAAUACCGGAUAAUAUUUUGAACCGCAUGGUUCAAUAGUGAAAGACGGUUUCGGCUGUCACUUAUAGAUGGACCCGCGCCGUAUUAGCUAGUUGGUAAGGUAACGGCUUACCAAGGCGACGAUACGUAGGCGACCUGCGAGGGUGACCGGCGCCACUGGAACUUAGACACGGUCCAGACACCUACGGGAGGCAGCAGUAGGGAAUCUUCCGCAAUGGGCGAAAGCCUGACGGAGCAACGCCGCGUGAGUGAUGAAGGUCUUCGGAUCGUAAAACUCUGUUGUUAGGGAAGAACAAAUUUGUUAGUAACUGAACAAGUCUUGACGGUACCUAACCAGAAAGCCACGGCUAACUACGUGCCAGCCGCCGCAGUAA
rnacentral:rRNA from 1 species